rnacentral:rRNA from 1 species
UACGGGGGGGGCAAGCGUUGUUCGGAAUUACUGGGCGUAAAGGGCUCGUAGGCGGCCAACUAAGUCAGACGUGAAAUCCCUCGGCUUAACCGGGGAACUGCGUCUGAUACUGGAUGGCUUGAAUCCGGGAGAGGGAUGCGGAAUUCCAGGUGUAGCGGUGAAAUGCGUAGAUAUCUGGAGGAACACCGGUGGCGAAGGCGGCAUCCUGGACCGGCAUUGACACUGAGGAGCGAAAGCCAGGGGAGCAAACGGG